GUUGUACUUGGAUCUACUCCUGACAUUGGGAAUCGUUUGGUUGAUACACUGUGCGAGAUGCGUAGUAUCCAAUACGGAUCUUCUUUUGGCAAAUUGUUAUUGCACAUCAACUUUCAGUCCAAGUUCCUUUGCACGCAAGAAAGUAGAGCUUGUGGAUUCUAUGGUACAAUCACCUCCAAAAAAUACCCAACAGCUUUCAAUAUUGAUGUUUUCUAAGAAAACAUUGGUGCUUUAAAGGCUGUCGGUUCACGUCGACACCUUGGAUGAGAGAGUUCGAAGUGACAGCAGUACUGGUACUAAGCUAAUCUCUCGUUUAACAUGAAUCGAUGCAAAUCGGAGUAACGAUUUACUUGUGAGUUCAUUCAGUGUGUAAAUCUUUAAGUUUGCCAGUUGGUCGGAGGCGGUUUAGAGUUUCAACCCAAUAAUGUACCAACAUUUCCUUUCAGAUACAUGAAUGAACUUGAUAAUCAAGCAAAUAUAAUCUCAUAGAGCACUGCUUUUCCGGCUCUGGUAAAUGUGAACUCAUGUACGAGGGCCUAGCAAGAGGAACUGGCACUAUGUCUCUUUUUUUCAUGACUUCCUUGCCAAAGGUCACCAUGUUGGGGAUUCUUUCCAGAAAAAAUAAACACGUUGUUUUUUUUUUUUUUUGGUAGCUGCAGGGAAUUGUAUUUGAAACGCAUCCAUUGACUACAACAUCCUCUAAUUUUCUCAUUACUUCACAACUAUUCCAGUGGAAACCUUACCUUACAUUCAGUAACAUGAGAUGCUUCCAUGGCAAUUCAGAAGUUGCACGGAGUGUACUCUUUGCAAUAAUCGCUCAUAGCACUGAAUGAUCUGGAAGCAGAAUGCUUCUACCUGUAUAG
rnacentral:lncRNA from 1 species